ensembl:lncRNA
GUGUUAGGAGGUGGGGCCUUUGGGAGGUGACUACGUCAUGAGGGUGGGGCCCCGUGAAUGGGAUUAGUGCCCUUAUAAAAGGGGCUGCAGAGAGCUGGCUGGCCCCUUCCACCACGUGAAGACACAGCAGGAAAUUGGCAGCCUGCAAUUGGAGGAGGGGACUCGACAGAACCCGACCGUGCUGGCACCCUGAUAUUGGACUUGCAGUCUCCAGAACUGAGUGAAAUAAAUCUCUGUUUCUAAGCCACCAAGUCUGUGAUACUUUGUCAUCAAAGCCCGAAUGGACUGACACUCAUCUUCCCAGGAUCCAAUUCAGGGUAUAAUGAUGACGUUGCACUUGGCGAUCGCGUCUCCUUAGUCUCCGGUCUGUCACAGUUUCUCGGACUUGCCUUGUUUUCACUAACUUCAGCAGUUUGGAGGAUAUUGGCCAUGCACUCUGUAGAGUCCCCUUCAGUCUUUCCUGAGGCAUCAUGGUGUUUUGGGAGGAACAGCGCACAGGUGAAGUGCCUUUCUCGUCACGUCACGUCAGCAUGACUUCCUGUUGGUGAUAUUAACCUGGAUACUUGUUUCAGGUGGUGUUUGCUGGGUUUCCCCCGUCCAGACUCUAUUCUUUCAGAGUCAGGAGGGGAGACAGCGACAGAGGAGACUUGAAAUUCUUCUGUGGGGAAGACUCAACUCUUCUCAUUUGCUUAUUCCAACGUUUAUUUGUAUCAGUGGACACCCUGCAUGUUUAUCUUGGAUUUUGGUUAUAAUUCUAUCCUACGUUAUUUAUUUCUUUGCUUGAAUUGGUCCAGCUUUUGGCUGUUGAGUGUGCAUUGACGUGACCCUAUCCUUUUGCAUUUGGAGCACUUGCUUAAAUUCUGGCACUAUAAGACGCUCCAUGCUCAUCUUGUGUUUUCCCUGCCCUGACCCUCGAAUCGGACAUUUCUCCAAGCAGUCCUAGUUCUUUUUAUUGGAGGAUGGCCUUUAGAAACUAAGACCCGGGCACUGAGUGUGCUUGUUGCUACCAGAGUGCUGCUGCUUCUAGGCCUCUCAGCCGACAGAGCUGGGAAUAUGUGUGCUGUUACUAACCCACGCACACUCAGAUACCUAUAAUGAUUUCUGGAUUAUCUGCGCCUGUGCUAACCUAGACACGAGUCCAUGCUGCUGCUUCAGACUCUCAUCCAGGAGCACGGGGCCCAUUCUGCCCUCCCUCUUGCUCAUCUGUAACUUUCCUGUCCGUCAGUGAUGACCCUGGUUGUUUCCACCCACUUCCCUGUUUCUUCCACUCCAGUCUGCAUGAGAAGCCGUUUUGGAAUUGUUAGCCCUACUCCUGGGAGAAGCAACUUCACCGAGUAGGGCACAGCGUUUGUGUGUGCUUCCUUCUGUCUUGAACCUGAUAGUGUCCAGUCAAACACCACUUUUCAAAGCUUCUUAGGUCAGCUCCGGUCUCCCCUUCGGUGAUCGUGUCGUGUAUUUGUAACAGUUUGAUUCAUUUGUCACAGUUUUUGUUCCCUCCUGGAUCUUCCAUACUCUUGGUUGAUUUUAAAAAAUUUGCAUAUAUUAAAGUUCACUUUCCAUAGGGAAUAGUUUCAUCCUCCUUACAGUUAGGUCAUGUGGUCCCUUUGCAGUAACCACUCCCUCCUUUCCCAACACCUGACAGCACUG